UACUAGAGUAGCACUCGCAUAUCAAUAAGCGGAGGAAAAGAAACUAACAAGGAUUCCCCUAGUAACGGCGAGUGAAGCGGGAAGAGCUCAAAUUUGAAAUCUUAAAGGGUUUCCCUUUACGAAUUGUAGUUUAAAGAAGUGUUUUCUGUUGAGGUUUUGGUAAAAGUUCUUUGGAAUAGGACAUCAUAGAGGGUGAGAAUCCCGUAUUUGACCUUUACUUUCAACUUUGUGAUACACUUUCAAAGAGUCGGAUUGUUUGGGAAUGCAGUCCGAAAUGGGUGGUAAAUUUCAUCUAAAGCUAAAUAUUGGCGAGAGACCGAUAGCGAACAAGUACCGUGAGGGAAAGAUGAAAAGAACUUUGAAAAGAGAGUUAAACAGUACGUGAAAUUGUCAAAAGGGAAGCGUUUGACACCAGUGUUGUUUUUCUGAAAAUCAAUUAAAGAACUGUUUAUGCUAAGCUGUUUAGACUUUAUCAGCUAUCUGUUUAGUUUUGAGCUUUUCUUUAAUGCACUUUUCAGUUAACAAGUCAACAUCAAUUUCUUUUGCUGUAAAAAAGCUUGAGGAAGGUGGCUUGAGAUUCGUCUUAAGUGUUUAUAGCCUCUUGCCUAUGCAGUCGGAGAGAUUGAGGUCUGCAGCGUAGAUCCUUCGGGGCUAAAUGCAUUUGUGCUAAGUUAUAGCAUUUUAUAGACAACUUGUUGACUAUGAUUUGUCUUGUAGCUUACUCGCUUAUGUUAUUUUACCUACGCUUAGGAUGUUGAACUCUAUCACACACA
rnacentral:rRNA from 1 species